rnacentral:misc_RNA from 1 species
GAUGAAGAACGUAGCGAAAUGCGAUAAGUAAUGUGAAUUCCAGAAUUCAGUGAAUCAUCGAAUCUUUGAACGCACAUUGCGCCCGCUAGUAUUCUGGCGGGCAUGCCUGUCCGAGCGUCAUUUCAACCCUCAAGCCCCCGGGCUUGGUGUUGGGGAUCGGCGAGCCUCCGCGCCCGCCGUCCCCUAAAUCUAGUGGCGGUCUCGCUGUAGCUUCCUCUGCGUAGUAGCACACCUCGCACUGGGAAACAGCGCGGCCACGCCGUUAAACCCCCAACUUCUGAACGUUUGACCUCGGAUCAGGUAGGAAUACCCGCUGAACUUAAGCAUAUCAAUAAGCGGAGGA